rnacentral:rRNA from 1 species
ACCAGACUCCUACGGGAGGCAGCAGUGGGGGAUAUUGCACAAUGGGGGAAACCCUGAUGCAGCAACGCCGCGUGAGUGAAGAAGUAUUUCGGUAUGUAAAGCUCUAUCAGCAGGGAAGAGAAUGACGGUACCUGACUAAGAAGCCCCGGCUAACUACGUGCCAGCAGCCGCGGUAAUACGUAGGGGGCGAGCGUUAUCCGGAUUUACUGGGUGUAAAGGGAGCGUAGACGGCUGGUCAAGUCUGAAGUGAAAGCCCGGGGCUUAACCCCGGAACGGCUUUGGAAACUGAGCAGCUAGAGUGCUGGAGAGGUAAGCGGAAUUCCUAGUGUAGCGGUGAAAUGCGUAGAUAUUAGGAGGAACACCAGUGGCGAAGGCGGCUUACUGGACAGUAACUGACGUUGAGGCUCGAAAGCGUGGGGAGCAAACAGGAUUAGAUACCCGCGUA